rnacentral:rRNA from 1 species
GACAGAGGUGCCAAGCGUUAGGCGGAAUCACUGGGCUUAAAGCGUGUGUAGGCGGAUUCCUAAGUACCUUGUGAAAUCCCCCGGCUCAACCGGGGAACUGCUUGGUAUACUGGGUGUCUUGAGCCAACUAGGGGCUGCCGGAAUAAGUGGUGGAGCGGUGAAAUGCGUAGAUAUCACUUGGAACGCCAACGGUGAAAACAGGCAGCUGGGGUUGUGCUGACGCUGAGACGCGAAAGCUCGGGGAGCGAACGGG